GUUUAAUAUUUGAAAAUUAAUUUUUAUUAAGGUAUUUAAAUAUAAUUAUUUUAUAAAAUAUUUGGUUGGGGUGACUAAAAGAUUUAAUAAACUCUUUUUUUAUUUUUACAUUUAUAAAUGAAUUGUUGAUCCAAUUUUUUUGAUUAAAAGAUUAAAU
rnacentral:rRNA from 1 species